UUCAACGGCCGCGGUAUCCUAACCGUGCGAAGGUAGCGUAAUCACUUGUCUUCUAAAUAAGGACUAGUAUGAAAGGCACCACGAGGGCUAAACUGUCUCCCCUUUCUAAUCAGUGAAUCUAACCCCCCCGUGAAAAGGCGGGAAUUUUAUAAUAAGACGAGAAGACCCUGUGGAGCUUAAAACAUUACCACAUUUGCUCAAACAACAACCUAAGGUUUUAAUCUAAGCACUAUGUCUAUAUGUUUUUGGUUGGGGUGACCACGGAGAAAAAAUAAUCCUCCGUAAUGAAAGAGAAACUCUAAACAACAAGCCACAGCUUUAUGUAUCAACAAAUUGACAUCCAUUGACCCAAUAUAUUGAUUAAUGAACCAAGUUACCCCAGGGAUAACAGCGCAAUCCACUUUAAGAGUUCUUAUCAACAAGUGGGCUUACGACCUCGAUGUUGGAUCAGGGUACCCAAGUGGUGUA
rnacentral:rRNA from 1 species